AAAAGGGAAAUUUGAUUUUCUAUGCUUAGAAAAUCAAAAAAUUUGAUUUCUAAACCAAUAAUUAAAACCCUAAAAAAACUAUACCUUUUUUUUCAAAACCCCAAAAAUACCCCCAAACUAAAACUAUCUCUCUUUCUCUCUCUAUCUAGCUGGUCCCAAUAAUCCCACACCCCAGGUCCGAUGGUCGGACCAUGGGGUCCGAUGGGGUCCGACCAAUCGGACCCAUCGGACCCCAAGGUCCGACCAUCGGACCUCUCUCUUCCCCUCUCUCUCAAAUCGCAGGAAAAAAAAAAAAAAAUUAAAGCCGGUCGGACCUUCUGGUCCGAUGGGUCCGACCAUCGGACCCGAAGGUCCGACCAUCGGACCCUUUCUUCCUCUCUCUCCAAAAUCGCGAAAAAAAAAAAAAAAAAAAAAAAAAAAAAUUCAAAGGUCCGACCAUCGGACCUUUGUCUUCUUCCCUCUCUCAAAUCGCAGGAAAAAAAAAAAAAAAGUUUCAGAGAAAAUCGCAGGAAGUGGG